UACAGAGGUCCCAAGCGUUGUUCGGAUUCACUGGGCGUAAAGGGUGCGUAGGCGGUUGGGUAAGUCUGAUGUGAAAUCUCACAGCUUAACUGUGAAACUGCAUUGGAUACUAUCCGGCUAGAGGAAUGGAGGGGAGACUGGAAAUACUUGGUGUAGCAGUGAAAUGCGUAGAUAUCAAGUGGAACACCAGUGGCGAAGGCGAGUCUCUGGGCCGAUACUGACGCUGAGGAGCGAAAGCGUGGGGAGCGAACAGG
rnacentral:rRNA from 1 species